ensembl:lncRNA
CAAAUACCUAAUAAUCCUCUGAUAUUAUACAGAUGUGUGUCACAAUCAAAGUACAGAUUUACAUACCAGCCAAUGGAAAGACAGACAUUUCUCAAAUGCACCUUAAUUAAAAAUUUCCCUAACAAUACUCAUCAGCGUCCUAACUGCUCAGGAGGGAGCUGGUCUGGACCUGAUGGUCUCGGGUCUCCUGCGUCGCUACAGCCAGGCAGGUGAGGCCCCUCCAGUGCUGCUGUACGUGGACUGUGGCUGCUGUGUGGAGGAGGGUCAGAGCAAGCUCCAGGCCAGGUUCGGAGGGUGGCCAGACCUCUACAUCAGGCUGGACAUCUGGCAUUUCAUGCAGCGGCUGGCAGCAGGAUGCACCACUGAUGCACAUCCCCUGUACCACACUUUUAUGAGCCGACUGUCAGUCUGCAUCUUUGAGUGGGAUGCCGGGGAUGUGGCUCUUUUGCGUCAGUCCAAGAGGGAGCAGCUCGGACAGGAAGGUGUGCCUGUUAGCACCAAUGACAUGAUGGACAAGCACUUCAACAAGAACGACCUGGCUCUCUACUGCCGGAGGAGGACACACGGAGAGGUAGACACCAUGCACACCAUUGACCACCUGCUGCAGGAGCUGAUGGGGGACAAGGGGAGAGACCUGCUUGGGGUGCCACUCCUGGACCGGGUCAGGAUGGAGCACAUCUGGCGCGUUCAGCAGAGGCACGUGAAGUGGAAAAGGGAACCACCACCACUAAGGACGGGGUGGUUUUGACCCGGUACAGGUGUGCCCGAGGCUCCACGUCCCUGGAGUCCUUCCACCUUCACCUGAACAGGUUCAUUCCAGAACCAGUGCCAACAGCCUGAACUUCCAGCUGUAUCUCCUGGAAGGCCUGAACAGGUGGAAUCAGGACCAAGCUGCUGCAUCCCUCUCCACCAAACCCUCCUCACUGCUGAGCUACGCUGGGGACGUGGUUCAGUGUGUGAACGAAAACAGUAUGAAGGUGUUUGGCCGGAAAUAUGUGUCCUCUUUCCGCCCCCCUACCAAGUACACUGGAGAGCUGAUAGGCAUGGACUAUCUGCUCCGUCAGACAGGGCAGCCUUUGCGGAGUGUGGACCCCGACAGAGAGGAGACUGACCAGCUGCUGGAGGACCUGGCCGUGGACGGUGAGGAGGAGGAGGAAGAUGAAGGCUUUGAGGAAUUCACACUGGACUUCACAGUUGGUAGUCUUUGGGAUGACAUCUCCACCAUCUCCACCACCAGCUGUCCUGGUCCCUCUGCUUCCAGUCCUGCUCCCUCUGGUCCCCGGCCUGCUCCCUCUGGUCCCCGGCCUGCUCCCUCUGGUCCCCAGCCUGCCACCUCCACCACUUCACAGCCUGCUUCCAGUCCACCAGGUGUCACACCUCAGGUGCCUGAAGAGCAGUGGGCUGUGAAUGAGCACAACAGGCCAGGCAUGGAUCGUGUGGAUAGCCUGGCAGAGUAUUUGGUGGAGCUGAGAAACCAGACCAGGCUGACCCUAAACAACCAGCAGGUCAGCAACAUUGUGGGUCUGUGGCAGAACCUUGUGGACUAUGAUAAGCAGAGAGUGGUGUUGGCAUCCAUACACCAGGACAGGCUUACCACAGGGAGGUUCAGGUCUCCUAAAAAGAAGGCAGAGUUCAUUCCAGGUGUGGACAGUCUGAAGCUGUGUGCCCUCAGUUCCACUGCUUCACCUGCCCAGUGGCCACACUGCUGCCGUCUUGUGGAGGCCAUCUUUUCCAGGCUCUGUUCCAUCCACAGGAGUCCCAAAAAGAAGGGGAAGGGGACACUGACAAGAUGGACUCUCAUUUAGGACUACCGCAAAAUACGGCAGCUGGUUCUGGCCAAUGGGGCCAUAAUGCAGGCGACAACCCUGCAGCUGGUGGAGGUGAACCAGACCACGCUCAUCCAGUGGCACAACGGCAGGGUCAAGAGGCAGGAUCUUGCGGUGCUACUGCAGGGGAUUAACCAGCCUGGUCUUCUCCCUGUGGCUUCCGAGUCUUUGGACCCAGCCAAUGUCCGCCCAGCAGUUGCUCCACCUCAACACCAGGGAGAGACAUUAGUUUAUCCCCUGCCCAGGAGCACUGCAGGGCAGGCAAAGACAAAGAGACAGUCCACCACUGUUAUCACACCACCAGUGGCAGUGCGACCAAGACUGGAAGCACAGAGGCAGCUAUUCCCCCAGGCUUCAACUUUUCGACUCAUUGUUCCGGCAGCCCCUGUCCUUCCUGGAACUCCCUCCUAUCCUGUCCCCAUUGCUCCCUGCCCAGGCCCCCGGGGCAGCAGUCUAAUCAGAGAUGCCCAGACUUCCCUCUCCCCAGACACUUCCUCCAGCUCUUCCGGGGGGACACCGAGGUGUUCCCAGGCCAGCUGGGAGACAUAGUCCCUCCAGCGUGUCCUUGGUCUUUCCCAGGGUCUCCUCCCGGUGGUCCCCAAACCUGACACCCUCCGGCCCCUGGCUGCGCCUAGAAAUUCUGUCCAUAAAAAUUACAAACAGAACCGGUGACAAAGGGCAGCCCUGCCUGAGUCCAACAUGCACUGGGAACAAGUCUGACUUACUGCCGGCAAUGCGGACCAAGCUCCUGCUUCGGUUGUAUAGGGACC